rnacentral:tRNA from 1 species
GCGCUUGUAGUUUAACGGAUAAAACACCUGCGUUCUAAGCGGAAGAUUUAGGUUCGAUUCCUAACGAGUGCA